UGUGACUCUCUGGCUAGGAAACUCUUUAAACCUGCUGACUGUUCUCCUUUAAUCAAUCAUCUUUAUUGAUUCAGCUCUUCCUCUGCAUGUUCUCUUCUUUCCCAGAGUGUAAAGGAGAAGUCAGAGUGAACCAGCCAACGGGAGAUGUCAUUGCUACUGAAGGAGACACAGUUACACUUGGCUGUACAUUUGCUACCAGUUACACAGGUCUCACUUUGUUCUGGUACAAACAGGAUGGAAACAACAGCCCCAAAAUUAUACUGAGUUGAAAUAAACGGGUUGAAGGGAACACACCAGAUGAGUUUAAGGAGAGAUUUUCAUCCACACUGGAUUCCUUAAAAUCAGUUCCUUUGAAGAUCCAGAAGCAAACACCAAGACUCUGCCAGAGGAUCUCAAGCAGCGGUACACCAAGGUUACUGCCUCUUUUUAAUAUCAUUAGAUAAGACAGAUUGUUAAUGCUGCUGAAGGGCCAGAAGGGUCAUUAAAAUUAUUUCUGAUUUGGAGUCAUUUAACUGCAGGACACUUUUGGACAUCUAGUCCUUAUUUUCAGCGAGGCAGGACAGAAUACAGGACACGUUGGUGGCACCAGGCUUGAUCCGGACAUACAGUUGAGUGUAAUCCGUGUAGCAAUGAAAAUUGAUAUUAUGUCCACACAUGAUUUGCCCCAGGGGUAGCAUGUACAUAGUAAAUAAGAGAGGACCCAGAAUAGACCCCUGAGGGACCCCACAAAACAGAGGAGCACGAGAGGAGGAGGCAUCUCCAAGCAUAACAGAGAAAGACCUUUCUGACAGAUCAGAGAUGAUCCAAUCCAGAGCCACAUCACUGAUGCCAACACAGUUCUUCAGACAUUGUGGUUCACUGAGUCAAAGGCUGCGCUGAGGUCAAGGAGAAUUAAAAUGGAGUACAGGCCAGAGUCAGCAGCAAGCAGAGGAGUCUCUGUUCGAACUGGUGUGACAUACUGCUUUAAAAAUCAAGUGGGCAUGCAGUCUGAAGGGCAGUAUGCAGUCGGGGUUUUGAUUUUUCAGUUGUUUCUCCCAGAUUCAUUCAGGUGAAUUUUCUGCAGAUUCCUCCUUCAGUCUGACCUUCUUGGAUGAUGAUGACUGCAGCAUCACAGUCAUUUCUAAAGCUUCCAUCAGCCUGAAUAGAAACCGACCACAGCAAGAGGAGGAGCUACACCACUGAAUAUGAAAGGCUUCAUUUUGGAACUGAAGAGCUGCUGUGCUCUCUCUAUGGUUCAUUCAGUACAAGUGAAAAUCAUGCAGCGCUCUUUGGUUUGGAUGAUGAUGUUCAUGUUUCAUACAGGAUCCUCUGAGGAUGUAGUGAAACAAUUUAAAGAUGUAAUGCUGGCUUUGGAAGGAGACACUGUGUCUCUCUCCUGCAACUAUUCAGGCACUGUCACCAACGUCUACUGGUAUCAACAGAAGUCCAGUUCAUCUCCAUAGCUUCUCAUCGCAGGUUAUUCAGAGAAAACAGCAAGGUUGUCUGUUACACAUGACACAAAAACAAAAGAGGUUCAUCUGCAGAUCUCCUCUGCUGCAGUGACUGACUCUGCUGUGUACUACUGUGCUCUGCAGCCCACAGUGACAGGAAACACCAAGACUCUGUACAAAAACCUUUGGAGCAAAGACAACAGAAUACUCCACAAAGUCCACUAGAGGGAGUCACACACUGUUAAACCAAUACGUUCAUUGGACUGAUGAGAGGAACUGAAAAAAUAACAUCAAGAGCUGAUUGGCCCCGCCCAUUGAGCUUCAACACAACCAAUGACAUUAUUUCUUACUCAUUCUACUGCAGUGGAAGAACAUUGCUCAUCUGCUGUCUGUCUGGCUUUAACAACUCCAAAGACAUGUUGCUUUACCUCUUUUUACUUUUCUCUCACUUUACAGGACUAAUAUCUGGAGACAAAAUCUCUCCUGUAGGAGAUAAAGUCAGUAAAAGAGAAGGAGAAUCUGUCACACUCACAUGUGAAUAUGAGACAACUGAAGACUAUAUUUACCUUCACUGGUACAGACAUCAUUCUGAC